UUCGCAAUGCCCGAAAGGGUGACGAUGCGACGCCGCGUGAGCGAAGAAGGCCCUAGGGUUGUAAAGCUCUGUCGAGGGUUAUGAAAUAUAGAUGGGUUAAUACCCCAUUUAUUUGACAAAAGCCCAAAAGGAAGCCACGGCUAACUCUGUGCCAGCAGCCGCGGUAAUACAGAGGUGGCGAGCGUUGUUCGGUAUUAUUGGACGUAAAGAGCACGUAGGUGGUUCUGUAAGUCAGGUGUGAAAGCCUUCUGUUCAAAGGAAGAACGGCAUCUGAAACUGCAUACCUUGAGUGUAGGAGGGGAGAGUGGAACUUCUGGUGGAGCGGUGAAAUGCGUAGAUAUCAGAAGGAACGUCGGCGGCGAAAGCGACUCUCUGGCCUAUUACUGACACUGAGGUGCGAAAGUUAGGGGAGCAAACGGGAUUAGAUACCCCGGUAGUCCUAACCGUAAACGAUGGGCACUAAGUAGAGGGGUUUU
rnacentral:rRNA from 1 species